rnacentral:misc_RNA from 1 species
GAUGAAGAACGUAGCGAAAUGCGAUAAGUAAUGUGAAUUGCAGAAUUCAGUGAAUCAUCGAAUCUUUGAACGCACAUUGCGCCUGCCAGUAUUCUGGCGGGCAUGCCUGUCCGAGCGUCAUUUCAACCAUCAAGCCCCCGGGCUUGUGUUGGGGACCUGCGGCUGCCCGCAGGCCCUGAAAACCAGUGGCGGGCUCGCUGUCACACCGAGCGUAGUAGCAAUCACCUCGCUCAGGGCGUGCUGCGGGUUCCGGCCGUUAAACAGCCUUACAAAACCCAAGGUUGACCUCGGAUCAGGUAGGAAGACCCGCUGAACUUAAGCAUAUCAAUAAGCGGAGGA